rnacentral:rRNA from 1 species
GAUGAACGCUGGCGGCGUGCCUAAUACAUGCAAGUCGAACGAAUCUCUUCGGAGAUGAGUGGCGAACGGGUGAGUAAUACAUAGGUAACCUGCCCCUGUGCGGGGGAUAACAGGAGGAAACUCCUGCUAAUACCGCAUAGCCAUGAGCACCGCAUGGAGCUCAUGCCAAAUAUCCUUUCGGGGAUAGCGCAGGGAUGGACCUAUGGCGCAUUAGCUUGUUGGCGGGGCAACGGCCCACCAAGGCAACGAUGCGUAGCCGGCCUGAGAGGGCGGACGGCCACAUUGGGACUGAGACACGGCCCAGACUCCUACGGGAGGCAGCAGUAGGGAAUUUUCGGCAAUGGGGGAAACCCUGACCGAGCAACGCCGCGUGAGCGAAGAAGGCCUUCGGGUCGUAAAGCUCUGUUGUAAAGGAAGAACGGCGCAUACAGGAAAUGGUAUGCGAGUGACGGUACUUUACCAGAAAGCCACGGCUAACUACGUGCCAGCAGCCGCGGUAAUACGUAGGUGGCGAGCGUUAUCCGGAAUCAUUGGGCGUAAAGAGGGAGCAGGCGGCCGCAAGGGUCUGUGGUGAAAGACCGAAGCUAAACUUCGGUAAGCCAUGGAAACCGGGCGGCUAGAGUGCGGAAGAGGAUCGUGGAAUUCCAUGUGUAGCGGUGAAAUGCGUAGAUAUAUGGAGGAACACCAGUGGCGAAGGCGACGGUCUGGGCCGCAACUGACGCUCAUUCCCGAAAGCGUGGGGAGCAAAUAGGAUUAGAUACCCUAGUAGUCCACGCCGUAAACGAUGGUCACUAAGUGUCGGGGGUCAAACCCCGGUGCUGCAGUCAACGCAAUAAGUGACCCGCCUGAGUAGUACGUUCGCAAGAAUGAAACUCAAAGGAAUUGACGGA